rnacentral:rRNA from 1 species
AGUGAACGCUGGCGGUAGGCCUAACGCAUGCAAGUCGAACGGCAGCACAGGAGAGCUUGCUCUCUGGGUGGCAAGUGGCGGACGGGUGAGGAAUACAUCGGAAUCUACUCUGUCGUGGGGGAUAACGUAGGGAAACUUACGCUAAUACCGCAUACGACCUACGGGUGAAAGCAGGGGACCUUCGGGCCUUGCGCGAUUGAAUGAGCCGAUGUCGGAUUAGCUAGUUGGCGGGGUAAAGGCCCACCAAGGCGACGAUCCGUAGCUGGUCUGAGAGGAUGAUCAGCAACACUGGAACUGAGACACGGUCCAGACUACUACGGGAGGCAGCAGUGGGGAAUAUUGGACAAUGGGCGCAAGCCUGAUCCAGCCAUACCGCGUGGGUGAAGAAGGCCUUCGGGUUGUAAAGCCCUUUUGUUGGGAAAGAAAUCCAGCUGGCUAAUACCCGGUUGGGAUGACGGUACCCAAAGAAUAAGCACCGGCUAACUUCGUGCCAGCCGCCGCAGUAA